rnacentral:rRNA from 1 species
AUAUCAAUAAGCGGAGGAAAAGAAACUAACAAGGAUUCCCCUAGUAACUGCGAGUGAAGCGGGAAAAGCUCAAAUUUAAAAUCUGGUAGCCUUUGGUUGCCCGAGUUGUAAUCUAGAGAAGUGUUAUCCGCGCUGGACCGUGUACAAGUCUCCUGGAAUGGAGCGUCGUAGAGGGUGAGAAUCCCGUCUUUGACACGGACUACCAGGGCUUUGUGAUGCGCUCUCAAAGAGUCGAGUUGUUUGGGAAUGCAGCUCUAGAUGGGUGGUAAAUUCCAUCUAAAGCUAAAUAUUGGCGAGAGACCGAUAGCGAACAAGUACCGUGAGGGAAAGAUGAAAAGAACUUUGGAAAGAGAGUUAAACAGUACGUGAAAUUGUUGAAAGGGAAACGCUUGAAGUCAGUCGCGUUAGCUAGAAAUCAGCCUUGCUUUUGCUUGGUGUACUUUCUGGUUGAUGGGUCAGCAUCAAUUUUGACCGGUGGAAAAAGGUCAGGGGAAUGUGGCAUCUUCGGAUGUGUUAUAGCCUCUGGUUGUAUACAUCGGUUGGGAUUGAGGAACUCAGCACGCCGCAAGGUCGGGUUUUUAACCACGUUCGUGCUUAGGAUGCUGGCAUAAUGGCUUUAAUCGA